rnacentral:rRNA from 1 species
AAUGAACGUUGGCGGCGUGGAUUAGGCAUGCAAGUCGAGCGCGAACCCCGCAAGGGGUGAAAGCGGCGAAAGGGAGAGUAACGCGUGGGUAUCUGCCCUCGGGACUGGGAUAGCUGCGGGAAACUGCAGGUAAUACCAGAUGACGUCCCCGGACCAAAGGUGUGAUUCCGCCUGAGGAUGAGCCCGCGUCCUAUUAGCUAGUUGGUAGGGUAAUGGCCUACCAAGGCAAUGAUGGGUACUGGGUGUGAGAGCACGACCCAGCUCACUGGGACUGAGACACUGCCCAGACACCUACGAGUGGCUGCAGUCGAGAAUCUUCGGCAAUGGGCGAAAGCCUGACCGAGCGACGCCGCGUGUGGGAUGAAGGCCUUCGGGUUGUAAACCGCUGUCAGAGGGGAGGAAUGGGCGGAGGGUAAUCUCUUCGUUUUGACCUAUCCUCAGAGGAAGUACGGGCUAAGUUCGUGCCAGCCGCCGCGGUAACAC